rnacentral:rRNA from 1 species
GAGCUUGCUCCUUUGACGUUAGCGGCGGACGGGUGAGUAACACGUGGGCAACCUACCCUAUAGUUUGGGAUAACUCCGGGAAACCGGGGCUAAUACCGAAUAAUCUCUUUUGCUUCAUGGUGAAAGAUUGAAAGACGGUUUCGGCUGUCACUAUAGGAUGGGCCCGCGGCGCAUUAGCUAGUUGGUGAGGUAACGGCUCACCAAGGCGACGAUGCGUAGCCGACCUGAGAGGGUGAUCGGCCACACUGGGACUGAGACACGGCCCAGACUCCUACGGGAGGCAGCAGUAGGGAAUCUUCCACAAUGGGCGAAAGCCUGAUGGAGCAACGCCGCGUGAGUGAAGAAGGUUUUCGGAUCGUAAAACUCUGUUGUAAGGGAAGAACAAGUACAGUAGUAACUGGCUGUACCUUGACGGUACCUUAUUAAAAAGCCACGGCUAACUACGUGCCAGCAGCCGCGGUAAUACGUAGGUGGCAAGCGUUGUCCGGAAUUAUUGGGCGUAAAGCGCGCGCAGGCGGUCCUCUAAGUCUGAUGUGAAAGCCCACGGCUCAACCGU